rnacentral:misc_RNA from 1 species
AGUUAUGGAUAAGUUGACUAGUCAAAUUCAAGAUGAUGUUCCAUGGUGCACGUUAUUUGCGGAUGAUAGCGUCUUAGUGGAUGAAACUAGUAAAAAGUUAAUCAAAAGUUGGAGUUUUGGAGAAAAAAUCUUGAGAGCAAAGGUUUUAAACUAUGUAGAAGUAAGACGGAAUAUAUGCAGUGCGAGUUUAGCUCCCGUAGAAGGAUGGAGUGUAGAAGGAUAGAGGUAAGGUUCAUUUCGAUGGAGUCUCGGUGCCUGAAUGCAAUCAGUUCAAGCAUCUAAGUUCUACAUACAAAAGAACAUAGUUUUA